rnacentral:rRNA from 1 species
AAUCAACGCUGGCGGCGUGCCUCAGACAUGCAAGUCGAACGAUUAAAGCUCCCUUCGGGGAGUGCAUAGAGUGGCGCACGGGUGAGUAACACGUAAGUAAUCUACCCUCGAGUGGGGAAUAACAGUCGGAAACGACUGCUAAUACCGCAUAAUGCAGCGGCACCGCAAGGUGACAGUUGUUAAAGGAGCAAUCCGCUUGAGGAGGAGCUUGCGGCAGAUUAGCUAGUUGGUAAGGUAAUGGCUUACCAAGGCUACGAUCUGUAUCCGGUCUAAGAGGACGGUCGGACACACUGACACUGAAUAACGGGUCAGACUCCUACGGGAGGCAGCAGUCGGGAAUUUUGGGCAAUGGGCGAAAGCCUGAACCAGCAACGCCGCGUGAAGGAUGAAGUAUUUCGGUAUGUAAACUUCGAAAGAAUGGGAAGAAUAAAUGACGGUACCAUUUAUAAGCUCCGGCUAACUACGUGCCAGCAGCCGCUGUAAAAC